rnacentral:lncRNA from 1 species
AGAGGAAGCUUCUUCAGGCAGGACGAGUGAGGAGAAACUGAAAAAGUGCAUCCUGCUGGCAACACAGGAAGUGACUUGGCUGCCAGUGACCCUCAGGUGGCAAGUGAGGAGUGAAACCCCAGCUCUUGGCCCUCAGAGCUGCAUUUCAAAAUGCCCAAGCAAUAGGAACAGGAACCACACCCAAGUUCUGCAGCAGCAGUCUACACCAGAACUGAUGGACUGUGCCUUCUGCAAGGGAGAGUCCUCUAGAGGGCUUCAGAGUUGCCUGAAGAACCAGGAACAACUUGAAGAUAGAGAAGCAAACAGGACUCCCUGAGUUCUGUCCUCACAUGACCCAACUGCCUCUGGCUCUGGGAUUUGGAGUAAGUAGGCUUUGGAAGGCAGCCCAGCUUAGGUGUGUCUACUUGCAUCCUAGUAUCUGUUGUUACAUUACACAAGUGACCCUGGGAUGCUCUGCACUUCGGAGCAUUCCUGCUUGCUAUUCGUCGCUGUCACCAUGUGCCUCAGCCUCAGUUACUGCAGAGGUGAAUGUAAAUGGUUCCUGUGAUGUCUAUCCCUCCAGUUAUCUUCUGACUUACAAAGGUGAUGUCCCUUCAUCCCUGGAGGUGCUUCAGCCUGUUGGCUGCACCCAGAAGUACAGCAUGAUACAGCACAGGGCAGGCUUGCUGUCAGGACUGAGUUCAUUCUCCACACUCACCUGGAGCUGUCCUUUAGAGUGAGCGUUAGAAAGAGAAGAGAGGUCAGAAGUCACAAUGAACCAGCCACUCCUACAGGAGCUCACAGGAAGUCCACACAGCACCAGACAAGCUCUGGGACAGAAGCAAGGAAAUGAAGCAGAGUGUGGAGUUAGGGCGACCAUAGAACUCUCUGACAGCUAGCCUACUGCAGAGAAGGCUGUGUAGUGGCUAUUCCUGGUUGUCAACUUGACAAUAUUUGGAAUGAACUACAAUCCGGAAUUGGAAGGCUCACCAGUGACCCUUAUCUGGAGGCUUGGAGAUCCUUAUCUGGAUCUUGGUUUGAAGAUCUUCAGCCAUAGUGGCUAUGGAUUCCAGAAGA